rnacentral:snoRNA from 14 species
AAUAAGUGAUGAAAAAAGUUUCGGUCCCAGAUGAUGUCCGAUGAUAAAUUACAUUUUUCUGAUAUU